UGACUCUCGGCAACGGAUAUCUCGGCUCUCGC
rnacentral:rRNA from 1 species